rnacentral:pre_miRNA from 1 species
CGUUGAACCGCGAUACCGAAGGUAUUACAGCUCCUUCGAUAUCGCAGUUCAGCGGG